rnacentral:sRNA from 1 species
UCGAUGCACACUGCGUGGAAAUAUGGCC